rnacentral:lncRNA from 1 species
CCAUCAGAUUUUAUAAACCUAAAAAAAACCUUCUUCAUCUUCAACCUUAAGACCCUAAGAGACCUAAACCCCUCUCAGCCGUUCCAUGUUCUUCACCUCACAACCAAGAAAAUUCCUUCAACACCAAUCAACCAACCAACCUAAUUCCUCCUAAGCUAAGGAAGCAGUCGUAGCCCUCCCCCCUCCCCCCCCCCCACACACAAAAAAACCCCAUUCCCUUCAACAUCUGAUCUUCCUCACAAAUGAAAAGGGCACCUUAGUAUUUCCUGAACCACCACCCUAAUCUCUAAGACCAGACCCAAAAUUGGCCAUGAACCAUAAGAGAAGAAAGAGGUAGCUGAAAAAUCCCUUCCUCUGGGCCUACUACUGCCUCCAAUUUUUCAAAAUGAACGACCCUCGAACUAUAAUUUUCCAACAUUCAAACACACGCACACACGGACAAAGUAAAGAACGGAAUUCCUCCAAGAGCCGCUCGAGUCCCUUUCCCCAUUUCUCCAGCUCUCGUCCUUUCUAUGAUUGCCGCUGCCGUAUGUGGUGACCGGUGACGGCCAUGACUGUUGUUGCGGCUGAAAUCUGUUUUUGCCGAGUGGUAUCGAAAUCGGGGCAUUGAAGUCGUUUGAGUUCGUAGUCUGAGGUUUCCGGACAGAUUUGCAGUUCCCAUUGCUUCUCCCUGUUUAUGAUCGAGUAUCAUUGUUUUGGGGACUAUCUCUAAUGCAAAACAGAAGUGGAAUUUCGUCUCUACAUUAAGGUCCAUUUUUUUACUACUUUGCUAUUUCAUUUCUAACUAAUGAUGUUUGUUUGCCUCUUAUGCUUUUUUUUCUGUUUUGUACGAGUACUUCUCAUGUGUAAUGUGAUGGGUGUAUCGUAUUUGAUUAUUAUUAGUUUAAUAUAUCAAGGUAGCAAGGUAGUUGUUAGAAUUGAUCAAAAAAUUUAUUUGAUUGAAUCGAUCUAGGAAAACCUGUAUAAUUGAUGUUGAAUACAUAUUAGUUAGAGGAAACAAUGGAUAGUGGGUUUGGGAAUUCAAAGUAAAAGAAUUGCUUCAUUAAUUUGAUCGCCAGGAGCAUAUUUAGGCCGUCAGUUGGGUAGGCAAGCCGUAUGAUUUUUGUUAGUUUUGAGGUGAUAGGUCGUUCCCUUAGUUAUAUUUAUCCGGGUAAUGCCCCGAAGUAUUUUUAUAUAUUUUAUUCCGGGGAAUGCCCCGUAGUAUUCUGUAAUUGGAGGCCGAAAGCGAACUCGUAGUACUUUUAUUCUUAUUUCAAUUUUAUUUUUAUCUUUCUUUUAUUAAGUGGAAAGAUCUUGAGCCUCUUUUGAUUGUUUAUUUUCUUUUUGUGUGUUUUACCUCGAUUUAAAUAUUUUAAAAGCCAACUAGAUCGGGUAUGUAACUGUGACUUUUAUGGGACUCGGGAAAUGCCUAACACAUUCUCCCCGAGUCAAAUGAACCCCCUUAUCUAGAAUUUCUGGCGCAGACUUAGUUUUAGAGUCCCAAGUGUUUUAAAAGGGAAAAUUGUUUUUAAACGGUGACCUAACACACCGAAACCAAAUGUCAGGUGACGACUCUGAAAUAUCUUUUAAAACACAAUUUUGUCACUUUUCAAAUUGAAAACCCUUUUGAGCUUCAAAAUCUUUUUAUUAUUUUAAAAGGGUUAAGUGAGGGUGAAAAAAGGGGUGUGACAGAAUUAUUAUUUGUGUUUAUUAUAUUUGUGAUUUCGGAUUUAGGUUGUGAUUCCGUUCACUCGUCUGUGUCCUUAUUAUGGUAUUCCGCUGUUACUUGUUAUUUCCUUCCUUAUUGUAAAUUUCAGUAUUGUUAGCCAUAUCGCGUAGUCUUUAUGUAGAUAUCAUGUUUUGUUGUUCCUAUACUUAUACUUGUCAGAUUAUUAAACCGAUAGGUAUCUUGACUGUUCCUCGUCGCUACUCCACCGAGGUUAGCCUUGAUACUUAAUGGGCACCGCUAUGGUGUGCUCAUACUACACUUAUGUAGAUUUUUUUAUACACAUCCAGGUAAUUGUUUGUUAGUAGCUAUACGGAUCGUUGCUGUGGAGACUCAAGGUAAAUCUGUUGCUGCAUUCGCAGGCUUCGGAGUCACCUUCCUAAUUUUGUAUUCACACUGUUUUACUUAUUUCCAAACAAUUGUAUUUAGAAGUUGUUGUAAACUAUGUAGAGCUUAUAACUUGUACUUUCGGUUUUGGAAAAUUGUAAAUUCUAUAAAGAUUUCUAUAUCGAGACUGUUAGUCUUUCUUAUUAUUGUUGAUAUUCAGUAAAUGUUAGGCUUACCUAGUCCAUAAGACUAGGCGCCAUUACGAUACCCAACAGAGGGGAAAUUGGGUCGUGACAGGUGUUUGUAUUGGCUUUUAAGCUAGUCAAAUUAACUUUUAAGCUCUUUUUAGCUUCUUUUUUUCGUUUUUGGCAAAGUUAAAAAGUGAUUAAAAUAAGUUAA